rnacentral:rRNA from 1 species
GCGCGCUAAUCUGGGGCCCGGGUGCACGGUCGCCGUGCCUCAUGUCCGUACAGCCAUAUUUUGUAAUUUUGAUCAUGAUGAUUUUUGGGUAAUUAUUUGACGUCGUAAUCGCUUAUUAUGGUGGUGGCCGAGGGUGGGGGGUGGGGGUGGGGGUCGUGUCGUUCCACCACCACUCUCUCCGCUCCCCGCUCUCCCUCGCUCGCUCUCGGCUCUCUCUAGGUUAGGUCAGGUCGGGUCGGGUCAGGGGAGCGGGCGGCAGCGGCGGCGAAGCUAAGCGAGGCCAAGGCGCGAACGAUCGAGCGAGUCCGCUCCAACGUCCAAGCCGCCGCUCCCUCCUCCCCCUAGCCUUACCCGCGCGCGCACAGGUUCCGGUGGAGGACGACGACGGAGGCGCCCGUCGAGGUGCCGUCGUGGGCGGAGCUGCUGGGGCCGAGGCUCCUCCUGCUCGUCCCCCUCCGCAUGCUCGACGGCCGCAAGGUCCUCAUGUGGAAGCUCGUCGACGCCGACCGGUGCCGGCCGAAGCGGCACCUCUUGUAGCACAGGCUCGUGCCGCUCUUCCGCGGGUUGCAGCAGAUGUUCCCCUUCGAGCUGCGCGUCGCGGCGUAGCGGCAGUUCGCGAAGUUGGCGAGGCGGACCGGGCUGGGCGCGGUCAAGGACCUUCUUCGAUUUAGUCAACCAGUCGAGGCCUCGUUUUCCAAUCGUUUGGACGAACCGACAACGACGCUUCCACUGCUCUCUAACGAACAACGUCUCAUGUACGGAUUGCUGUGUGAUCGUUUUGUGGAAAAGGUGACCCUUUGGGUUCGCUACUUUACCGGGUACUCUAAUUCCCAACAAGAGAUAGAACGACUCCGAAAUCUUAUAACGUGGUCGUUCCCCGCACGAGAGAUGGUACUAGAAUUACGGAUGUCUCAAAACAAACUACUACUGACAUUGGGAUCUGAAAGUACGAAACCGGAAUACUUCUUGUCGGCCCUACCGUUUUCAAUGUCAUGGUUAGACCGUAAAUGAGGAGGGCUUAUGUACUCUUGACCUGCAUAUUGUGGACUUUCACAGUAUAUAUCGAAACCGUGGAACGAUGACCUACAAGAAUCACCCUUCGUAUAAGGAGGCUCGGUACGGGAACUGGACUAAGCUCUAGCCUUGAAAUCGUACGAAUGUCUGAGCACAAAUCUCCCAGUUAAAAGUUUACUCCUCCCUUGACUUGACCAUGCUAAUCGAAGUUCCACGGACGUGAUACUUGGGGCUCUUGCCGGCUUACAUUCUAGAUACCAAGUUCGUAACCGAGGAGAAGUCUUCCUACAACUCUGAGGUAGAAUGCUUGACUACCUAUACGGAGUUCGGCCACGUAGUAGACAGGUUAGUAACGGAGAAAGAGGAGAACGACUGCGAACAAGGUCUUUCCUAGACUGUCGUUAUGUACUUUAAGAUCUUUUCUGCCCCAUGUUCCUACUACUCCCUUGACGUUUACUCGAAAGUAAAGUCUACACCUGGUUAGUUUACGUCCUGUGUAAUUGGAGUUUCUUCUUCCCACUGUCACGUAAAGCCGUUUUCCUAAAAUGAUGACGAUAACUAACAAUGAGAGUCAAGUAACUUCAACCAUGCUACCAAAGGGGGUGGUAAAUACGAGCCGCAACGGAUAGUAUAGACUACUUACCGUACCGUCUUGUCCGAGAGUCACUACGUUACGUCCGCGAUCAUUAUAGAGGCUGUACCGGCUGACGUAAAAUGGAAGUUCGACGUCGCAACGAAAGAAAUCUGUACCUCUUACUUCGAGUUCUACGAGAGUUCCUACCAACACGGGUUCUCUGUUCAUCGUCGUCGCCUGCGACUUAUACUUGACUAAAGAACAGAUCCUUUACGUGUAUUAAGGUCCACGAGCGAACUUGUUUUAGUAACCCUACCUUCUUCGUCGACACCAAGUAGACAGUUGAAACCGCCGGUUCACAAGAAACUCGAAGAAUACUAGACACACGCGCUUUGAUGCAGCAGGGAGCAGGCAUACAUUUAUACCUUGUUUCGCUGUUGUCUCUGGUCCUUUCUCUACGGUAUAUGUAACUUUCCCACUUAUUCGGGGCAUCUGUCCUUAAAAAAACACCUUCGGCUUUUUAGGCAGAACCAAGGAGGGUGGCUUCUUCCCUCUUUUUUUUGCUCUCUAACAACUACAUGUAAUAAACAUUUGGACAUGUCAAAAAGGAAAAGCCUCGUCUUAGUAGAAACCGACUUACCAACGGUUUUUAAGAGUCAAAGACAAUGAUGCUAAACUGAGUCAACGUUAUGCAAAACCUCUCAUCAGCUGUGAAACGUUCAAUAGUCGAGUACUAAAAUAAAAGAGCAAGUCUAAUC